CAACUUAGGAACGAAAAUAAUAAUGAUUCACACCCGUUAACGAGUCUUUUCAGUUUGUAGUGUAAGUAAAAUGGAAACGAUACUGCGAUAUUUUGUUUCGCAAUCGUGAUUGACUUACAGAAUGAUAACAUUUGGUUUGACAUCUGGUUACAAAUAAUUCAGUGGGGGAAGGGAACCACUGCAGUGAUUACUGGACAGUUUAGGACAUAAUUGUUAGUUACAAUCUUCUGCUGUGCAGGAGACAGAUUAUUUAUUAGCAAUUUAAGUCAGAGUCUCUCCACCGUGGUCCCCUCUUUCGACUUUGUGUAGUUAGUCUUUCCCAUAAUUUGUUUCACUUUAAUUAGUUUGGCUUUGCAGAUUAAAUCGGGUGAUGGAUAAUCGAAGACAUUUCGGCAUAAGUGAAAAAUCGAAUGUUUGUGUGCCGUUCGAGUUGCAGAAAGGUCGAACCGAAAAGCAGAUGCGUCACGGACAGCGUGAUUUACAGUUUGUUCACAGUUCGUACUGUUUUAAUACAUUCGGGAGUCGGUUCGACUGGACAACUUUCGACAUUCUCGAUGCAGACAGAGACAACACGUGAUCCAACUCCACCCACGUGAAUUAGUUGAAAGAAUUUGGGUGUACGUUUUAAUAAUAGCAAUCGUUUCCCUUCUUUAACUUUAUUGAAUUAGGAGGCACGUUGCGCGAAAAAAAAAAAAAAAAUCCUUAUUUGCAAUUCUGUUAACUGCAUUCUUUCGCUAGCUCGACUAGAAUCGUGUAAUUUUAUGCAUUAGACAAU
rnacentral:lncRNA from 1 species